ensembl:lncRNA
CACUAAUGCAGCUAGCUUAUUUUGACAGAUACUCUACCGGCAGAAUUAACAUAGAUGUUGCCAUUUGAUUAGAUGUCCUCUAAGAGUCAGUUAACACGUGAGUGUUUAGUGGGCUGUUGAGUAUCAGCCGGGUUUCAGGCUCACAUCUGGUGCUGUCGAGGAGCCGACCCACUGAGCCUUUUGGAUUAUACUCCGCUAAAGAGGGUCAGUGCACACACACAGACCUCUGUUUGCCAGGUCUUAGGAUCGGAUUGGAGUCCGGGCAGUGUGGCAUCAAUUUGCAAGAGUGUCGAUGUCGGACCAGAGCAUGCCAGGGACCUGCAGGACUGCUGUAGAAUCCUUUCCCUGACCCAGACUCACCUCUAUGCAAUUCCCCUGAUCUCCAGGCCCCUAAACAGAUUAACUCCGCAGCUGGCUCAGGGAACAGACUCGCCACCAUCUCUCGAUCACACCCCUCCUCUUUCUAUCCGUCCCUCCGCCCCCCCUACUUUUUUGUCCCACCCAUCCUUCCUCUUCCUUUGCCCUGUUACAUGCCAGUCCGACGAGGGAUUUACUUGCAAUUUAAUUUUCUCCUCAUCUCACCUCACCUCUCCUCUCCCAUUUCCCCUUUCCCUCCUUCUGACAGAAUUCACUUCUAGUGAGCUAGUGGCUCAUAUGUUCUCUCUCCUCUGUUUAUAUUCCCCCUCCCAUAUGUCUCCUAGCAUAGCAUUCUCCAUAAGGAAGAGCACAGGAGGUGGUUCCUUGAGGGAAAUCAUUGCUUAUUCUUUUUUAAAUGGGAGGCCUCGUUCUGUAUUUGCUCCCAUGGGAGCACAAGGUGCAGAAUACUAUUUCCCAUUCGCCCGCAGAGGGAUAUUUGACACCUCUAAAGACACAAACACUAACCCUUGUUAUAUAUCAGACUUGGAAAUAGAUAUUCCGUUGAGAUACCUGUGCACCGUUUACCGAUGCUACCAGUUGCAAACAAAUUCGCCCAGGUGUGUAUGAGGAUUUGAUCUAUCUAUCUAUCUAUCUAUCUAUCUAUCUAUCUAUCUAUCUAUCUAUCUAUCUAUCUAAAGGCUU